CGUCCAUCACUGCAGCCGUUGGCGCUGGGCGUUCUGGCCCCGCCCACCUCCCGACGGCCGUUUAAGAGAGCGGAAGACCCGCCCUUCCGCCCAGUCGCUUGUGAGAAGCGGGAGAGGCGUUGUGAGCGAGGUGGGGAGAAAUGAGUUUUGCUUUUAAAAUGCCAUUACUUGAGAAACAAGAAAAUGGUGAUCAGGUGCUCAUGAAAAAUGAAAACUAUCUGCAGAUUUUGAAAAAUAAAGAUCAACGAAGGAGGCUUGUGCAUGAAAUCUGUACCUUUUUGGACAGCAGCCAGUCUGUUCAGGAGAUUGAUGCUCUGAGAACAGAAAAUAGGAAGCUAAAAAAUGCGGUAUCUAUCUAACAUUUCUGCCAUUUUAUGGUUAUGGUUAUGGCUGACUUAAAUGCUGUCCCUGUG
rnacentral:lncRNA from 11 species